rnacentral:rRNA from 1 species
GACGAACGCUGGCGGCGUGCUUAACACAUGCAAGUCGAACGGAAAGGCCCUGCUUUUGUGGGGUGCUCGAGUGGCGAACGGGUGAGUAACACGUGAGUAACCUGCCCUUGACUUUGGGAUAACUUCAGGAAACUGGGGCUAAUACCGGAUAGGAGCUCCUGCUGCAUGGUGGGGGUUGGAUAGUUUCGGCGGUUGUGGAUGGACUCGCGGCUUAUCAGCUUGUUGGUGGGGUAGUGGCUUACCAAGGCUUUGACGGGUAGCCGGCCUGAGAGGGUGACCGGCGACAUUGGGACUGAGAUACGGGCCAGACUCCUACGGGAGGCAGAAGUGGGGAAUAUUGCACAAUGGGCGGAAGCCUGAGGCAGCAACGCCGCGUGCGGGAUAACGGCCUUCGGGUUGUAAACCGCUUUCGCCUGUGACGAAGCGUGAGUGACGGUAAUGGGUAAAGAAGCACCGGCUAACUACGUG